rnacentral:lncRNA from 1 species
UCUCCCUUCACUUUAAGUGUUUGCACGUGUAUCAGGCUGUUCUUGUAUUACUAUAAAGAAAUACCUGAGACUGGUUAAUUUUUAAAGAAAAGAGAUUUAAUUGGUUUGCUGUUCUUGCAGGCUAUACAAGCAUGAUGACAGUACCUGCUCGGCUUCUGGUGAGCUUUUACUCAUGGCAGAGAGCAAAGUGGAAGCAGUAAGUCACAAAGUGAAAGCAGGAGCAAGGAAGGGGGAAGUGCCACACUUUUAAACAACCAGAUCACUUGAGAACUCAUUUACUGUCAUGAGGACAACACCAACUCAUGAGAGAUCCUCCCCUACAAUCCAAACACCUUUCACCAGCCUCAUCUCCAACAUUGGGUAUUACAUUUCAACAUGAGAUUUGGGCAGGGACAAAUACCCAAGCUCUAUCAUUCUGCCUCUGGCACCCCCAAAUCUCAUGUCCCUCUCCCAUUGCAAAAUAAAAUCACGCCUUCCUAAUUGUUCCCCAGGUCUUAACUUAUUCCAGCAUCAAUUCAAAAGUCCAAAGUCCAAAGUAUGCUCAGAUAUCACAAUUUCCUUCUGCCUAUGAGCCUAUAAAAUAAAAAACAAAUUAUUUAUUUUCAAGAUACAAUAGGAAUACAGGCAUUGUAUAAACAUUCCUAUUCCAAAAAUGAGAAAAGAAAGGGGCUACAGUCCCCAUUCAAGUUCAAAACCCAGCAGGGUAGCUGUUACAUCUUAAAAGGUCCAAAAUAAUCUCCAUUGACUCCCUUUCCCAUAUCAAAGGCACUUCUGCAAGUCUCAGAGUCUAAAGGCUGAAAAACCUGGAGUCUGAUGUCCAAGGGCAGGAGGAGAGGAAGCAAGCAUCUGACAUGGAAAGAAAGUGGGAGCCAGAAGACUCAGCAAGCAAGACUACCCCCAUGACUUCUUCCACCUAGGUCUUCCUCUUCCAGUCCACUGACCCAAAUGUAAAUUUCCUUUGGCAACAUCCUCACAGACACACCCCAAAACAAUACUUUGCCAGCCAUCUAGGAAUCCUUUAAUCCAGUCAGGAUGACAACUAAUGUUAACCAUCACAGCAUUUUCUAAAGAGAAUCCUGCAUUCUAAAGGAUCUAGUCUGGAUGCCAGGAGCUGUGUAUAGGAUGAGAGCCUGGUGGACCUGAUUGACCGCCUGUUGUUCAGUUCAGUUCAGAGACUGAAAAUCAGGAUUUGUGCUGGAGAGUCUUUGAACUGUGUGUGAAAGUAUCUGAAGGUCCAUGACAAUUUGAAAGAAGGCAUAUGAAAAAGGUGCAGGAAUCGAAGGCACGAGAUACACCUGAAAGUGGUGGAGCAAUGAAUCUGAACAGGAUGAUGGAUUGAAAGUGCUCAAAAGAGGCAGCUAGGAUCCUGUAUUCAUGUCCUACCACUGCAGCCAGGGAAAGAUCCUCCCACAUCUAUCAGAAGACUGGAGGAUUAUGUCUGGAGAGAUUGAAUUCUAGGGAUGCUCAGGCCCAAAUGAAGGUUUGAGCACACAAUGAAAUGAGUUGAUAUUGACUGUUGGGAACCAGAGUUCUCAGUGGAUGAAGAGACACAGAAAAAUAAAAUGAAGGAAGGCAAAGAAGAUCUCUGAAGAGAUGGAUUGGAAUUGGAAGCAUUAGUAUGAACCAUGAUUCUAAAAUAGUUAUAUAUUGAUGUCUAUGCUUGUAUAUAUCCAGAAGUUUAUGUAUGUAUGUUUAAAUGUGUGUGUAAUAUAUAUGUAUACAUAUAUGUACACAUGUAUAUAUUUCCUAGCUUUGUCUACUGAAAGGGUCCACAAGCAAAAUCUUGUAGCGGAUCUUGGUCUCUAAGAUUGUUCCCUGUUAAAAAAAAAACAGGAUCCGUUGGAGAAAUUGCUGAUUCCAGUGCUGUAGCAGAAAAGGUAAUACAUGAUCCUAAAAUCAGUAGUCUCAUUCUGUUAGAUUACUGUGGGGUUCAGUAUGGUAGCCACUAGUCUCUUGUGCUAUUUAUUUAUUUAUUUUUAUUAUUAUGCUUUAAGU